AUAGUAUUACCUCCGUCCCAAAAAGCUUGUCUUAGAUUUGUCUAGAUACGGAUGUAUCUAGAUACAUCCGUAUCUAGACAAAUCUAAGACAAGCUUUUUGGGACGGAGGGAGUAUCUG
rnacentral:pre_miRNA from 1 species